AGCAGUAGCCGCGGUAAUACGUAGGGGGCUAGCGUUAUCCGGAUUUACUGGGCGUAAAGGGUGCGUAGGUGGUCCUUCAAGUCGGUGGUUAAAGGCUACGGCUCAACCGUAGUAAGCCGCCGAAACUGGAGGACUUGAGUGCAGGAGAGGAAAGUGGAAUUCCCAGUGUAGCGGUGAAAUGCGUAGAUAUUGGGAGGAGCACCAGUAGCGAAGGCGGCUUUCUGGACUGCAACUGACACUGAGGCACGAAAGCGUGGGUAGCAAACAGGAUUAGAUACCCGUGUAGUCCCUGUCUCUUAUACA
rnacentral:rRNA from 1 species